rnacentral:rRNA from 1 species
CGGUAAUACGGAGGAUGCGAGCGUUAUCCGGAUUCAUUGGGUUUAAAGGGUGCGCAGGCGGAUAUAUAAGUCGGAGGUGAAAUUCUGAUGCUCAACAUCAGCCGUGCCUUCGAUACUGUAUAUCUAGAGUCAAGUUGGAGUAGGCGGAAUGUGUUGUGUAGCGGUGAAAUGCUUAGAUAUAACACAGAACACCGAUCGCGAAGGCAGCUUACUAAACUUUGACUGACGCUCAUGCACGAAAGCGUGGGGAUCAAACAGGAUUAGAUACCCUGGUAGUCCACGCUGUAAACGAUGAUUACUCGCUGUUGGCGAUACACAGUCAGUGGCUAAGCGAAAGUGAUAAGUAAUCCACCUGGGGAGUACGACGGCAACGUUGAAACUCAAAGGAAUUGACGGGGGCCCGCACAAGCGGAGGAGCAUGUGGUUUAAUUCGAUGAUACGCGAGGAACCUUACCUGGGCUCGAACGUGGGAGUAAUGAGGAGGAAACUUUUCAGCUAGCAAUAGACUUCUACGAGGUGCUGCAUGGUUGUCGUCAGCUCGUGCCGUGAGGUGUCAGGUUAAGUCCUAUAACGAGCGCAACCCCUACUCUUAGUUGCCAGCAUGUAAUGAUGGGGACUCUAAGAGAACUGCCUACGCAAGUAGAGAGGAAGGUGGGGAUGACGUCAAAUCAGCACGGCCCUUAUGUCCUGGGCUACACACGUGCUACAAUGGUCGGUACAGAGGGCAGCUACCUGGUGACAGGAUGCUAAUCUCAAAAGCCGGUCUCAGUUCGGAUCGGAGUCUGCAACUCGACUCCGUGAAGUUGGAUUCGCUAGUAAUCGCGCAUCAGCCAUGGCGCGGUGAAUACGUUCCCGGGCCUUGUACACACCGCCCGUCAAGCCAUGGAAGCUGGGGGUACCUAAAGUCCGUAACCGCAAGGAGCGGCCUAGGGUAAAACUAGUGACUGGGGCUAAGUCGUAACAAGGUAGCCGUACCGGAAGGUGUGGCUG